CUUGCUACUUUGCCGGCGAGCGGCGGACGGGUGAGUAAUGUCUGGGAAACUGCCUGAUGGAGGGGGAUAACUACUGGAAACGGUAGCUAAUACCGCAUGACGUCGCAAGACCAAAGUGGGGGACCUUCGGGCCUCACGCCAUCGGAUGUGCCCAGAUGGGAUUAGCUAGUAGGUGAGGUAAUGGCUCACCUAGGCGACGAUCCCUAGCUGGUCUGAGAGGAUGACCAGCCACACUGGAACUGAGACACGGUCCAGACUCCUACGGGAGGCAGCAGUGGGGAAUAUUGCACAAUGGGCGCAAGCCUGAUGCAGCCAUGCCGCGUGUGUGAAGAAGGCCUUAGGGUUGUAAAGCACUUUCAGCGAGGAGGAAGGCGUUGUYGUUAAUAGCUGCAACGAUUGACGUUACUCGCAGAAGAAGCACCGGCUAACUCCGUGCCAGCAGCCGCGGUAAUACGGAGGGUGCAAGCGUUAAUCGGAAUUACUGGGCGUAAAGCGCACGCAGGCGGUUUGUUAAGUCAGAUGUGAAAUCCCCGAGCUUAACUUGGGAACUGCAUUUGAAACUGGCAAGCUAGAGUCUUGUAGAGGGGGGUAGAAUUCCAGGUGUAGCGGUGAAAUGCGUAGAGAUCUGGAGGAAUACCGGUGGCGAAGGCGGCCCCCUGGACAAAGACUGACGCUCAGGUGCGAAAGCGUGGGGAGCAAAC
rnacentral:rRNA from 1 species